GAUGAACGCUGGCGGCGUGCCUAAUACAUGCAAGUCGAGCGAAUGGAUCAAGAGCUUGCUCUUAUGAAGUUAGCGGCGGACGGGUGAGUAACACGUGGGUAACCUGCCCAUAAGACUGGGAUAACUCCGGGAAACCGGGGCUAAUACCGGAUAACAUUUUGAACCGCAUGGUUCGAAAUUGAAAGGCGGCUUCGGCUGUCACUUAUGGAUGGACCCGCGUCGCAUUAGCCAGUUGGUGAGGUAACGGCUCACCAAGGCAACGAUGCGUAGCCGACCUGAGAGGGUGAUCGGCCACACUGGGACUGAGACACGGCCCAGACUCCUACGGGGGGCAGAAGUAGGGAAUCUUCCGCAAUGGACGAAAGUCUGACGGAGCAACGCCGCGUGAGUGAUGAAGGCUUUCGGGUCGUAGAACUCUGUUGUUAGGGAAGAACAAGUGCUAGUUGAAUAAGCUGGCACCUUGACGGUACCUAACCAGAAAGCCACGGCUAACUACGUGCCAGCCGCCGCCGUAA
rnacentral:rRNA from 1 species